rnacentral:lncRNA from 1 species
CUUACUUUGUACAAUUAACUUCUUUGUUCCUCAGUUGCCCUUUUCUGUAAAAUGUAAUUCAAAUAUAUUUCAAUGCACUCAUCAUGGAAAGGAAGAGCCUUUGAGUUGAAACUAUUUUCGUGCUUUGUUGUUGUUGGUGGUUGUUUUGUUGUGUUUCUUUUUAAUAAUGCAUCAGGUCCCACCCAACAUGGAGUGGUACCUAUCUGAGUAGGUACAAUAUUGAAGUGGAAAGGAGAAUAUUACCUACACUUAUGGAGGAACAUAGAGGGACCAUGGCUCAUCAGAGACUCCAGAUAAAUAAAUAACAUUUGUGUCAACUUGAAGAAACCAAUACAAUUGCAGCAGUGCCAAAAUACAUAGCUGUUCCUCCACUAAGGCCAAGGAAGAGGCUGUAGUAGCAGAAACGAAAGAGUGGGCACUCAUCUCUGCUGUCUAAACCUGUUCUAAAGCAUAUACCUUAGUAUAUAAAGCAUAUACCUCUACCAGUAACAGAAGGAAAUGAAAAGGAAACUGAGGCUUUGCAUAUGUUAGGGGUGGAGAAGAAGAGACAAUCAAGCAGCUCAUAUUUAUUCUAUACUCAUUACUUCAUCUGAUCUAUUCAGCAGUCGUGUGUGAUAUUUUCUCCAUAUUGCACAUAAAAGAGUGUGACAUUAAUGUACAUACAAUAAUUUCCUGUUUAUACUUCUAGCCCAGAUUUUCAAUUAUCACUUAAAAUUUAUCAUCUUUUUGAGUUUUUGCAAGUAUUUAUCAUCAAGUGCUUACCGUUUUAUAAGCCAACUAACACGUUACUCUCAUUUUCUUCUUUUUAAAUUCUUUAUUAAUUUUUAUGACACAGACACAUUCUUUUGGAAAAAGGAGAAAAUAGAGAUUUGCAAAAACUACAAAAGAAAACACACUUUCCCAUGAAUCUGCCUCUUAGAAACCAGCAUUUUUAGUGUUUUGUUUACAUCUGCUAUGCAUAUAUGUGAUAUACAAGUGGACAUAUUUCUGAUUGAGAUAUCAUAUAUAUGUGCAUGUGUACGUAUAUGUGUGUAUGAUUUGACCUAUAUAUGACAUUUUCUGUGCAAUUUGUAAAAAUUCCUAAUUAAAGUAUAGAUUUGCAUAUGGAGUAAUGACAAAAUCCAAUGAGCAAUGAGAUACCAGUGACAAUAGAAACAAAUGAAUUGCUUUCCUUCUUUCUUUCUUUUUUGGUACCAAGGAUUAAACCCAGGGGUACUUAACCACUGAGCCACAUCCCCAGCCCUUUUUUAUAUUUUAUUUUGAGACAGGGUCUCACUAAAUUACUUAGAGCCUCACUAGAUUGCUGAUGCUGGCUUUGAAUUUGUGAUCCUCCUGCCUCAGCCUCCCGAAUCACUGGGAUUAUAGGUGCGCACCACCACACCUGGCAACAACAGGAAUUUCUAAAACCAGUACUAUCAAAUGGUUAAAAUAAAAAGAUGAGCAAAGGUAUGACUAUAAAAUGCAACCAACAAUGAAAAUGACCUUCUAAUAAUAUCAGAAAAAAUAAUUUAAGACAAGCCAGGUGUGCAUGUCUAUAAUCCCAGAAAUUUGGGAGACCAAGGCAAGAGUAUUGCAAGUUCAAGGAUAGCCUCAGCAAUUUAGCAAGUUCCUAUCUCAAAAUAAAAAUAAAAAGGGCUUGGGAUAUAAUGCCCCAGGGUUCAAUCCCCCCCACAUCAAAAAAAAAAAAAAAAAAGAACUAAGUGGGAUAAGGUCAUUUCUUAUUUUCCUGGAUAGAUAGUACUUGUUGUUAGUUAUUAUUUCUAUGGCUUCCUUUCCUUCAACGCGUUCCAAAGCUAGCUCUGCCUCUACAUUCUGAACCUUUUCUUCAUUUCCCUUUGUGUGUUUUUCACAUUGAGAUUUAUUUUCCCUUUUUCUUCUUUGAAUGCAAUUACUCAUUAGGGGGAAAAAGAGAGGGAAUGUUGUGUGCUAUUUAUGCCAGCACCCAUUUGCUUCCCUGGACCAGGGAAAUGAGUGCAAAGGUUUCAUCUUCUAUUCCACUCCUGUAUUCCUCCAGAUUCUUGCCUUUAUCACAAACCCAAAGAGCUAUUUUACCAGCCUCUUCCUGACUGAAUGAGGGGUAAAUAGGGGCAGUGUUUCCUACCAGCUUUGUUCUGGCCUGGGCCAUAUCUACCAUUUUACCCUCUGCCCUCAGGGUUGCAGUCCAGAGCACCACACAAAACAACCUGUGCAUAUCCCCAAGCAGUUUCUUCUUCCUUUUUUUGUUCUUGAGACAUGCCUGAUAGACAUUCACACCUAUAGACAGAGGCACAGAAUGCUCAAUGGACUUACCCAUAAAAUAGACAAAGAUCUUUUUCACGAUUAGCCACCCAAUCUCCUCAAGUCUCAAGGAUUCCCCUUUCCACCCCUGUUCCACCCUCAUCUUCUCCUGUCUCAUCCCCAUCUCCAGUUGCAAAAUGCCCACCAUAUUGUAUUAGAGGAAUAAUCUCCAUUUAUCCACUUCUCUGAGUAAAUAAGCAUCAUUUCUUUUGCCUCCUCCCCUCUUCAUCUCAAGGCUCCUCAUCCCUGUGCUUAUUGACCAUUUCCCUGCAGGCAGGGUAGAAAGGAAGCAGAUUAUUUACAACCCCCAGGUAUAUGUUUUCCAUUAUGACCUUCUUUCUUCAGCCCUUCCCUCCAUCCCAAAGAGAUGUCCAUCAAACAGAUCAGGACUAGCCACUUCCUCUUGUUUACACCACACCACCUUGGAAGAGGUCCAGUUGCUCACACUGAGUUGCUCCAUUCUAGGGCGAUGGUUUCUUUUACCUUGCCCUUUGGGCCAGACACCAGUGCCCCAACUAGCCCUAGACUGCCUUAAUAGAAAAGAGAAGGGUUGCAAAGGUUGCAAAGAACUAGAAAAGGAGGCUUAUGAAUGCCUGAGCAACUGGUCACAUGAGGGCUUUAUCUCAACCCAAACUUCACUGCCCACAUCUGUAUCCCCACCUUCAACUCUUGCUGGCAAGCAGUGCAGUAGGAGCCCCUACCACACACACACAGAAUCAUCUCCAUCCCCCUCUUUGCAUCUAACUCCAGCCAGCACACGCAUUAAUUCUGAGGAGCCACAAGUGGCAUCUCCUCCAUAUGUUUGGAGUUUACCUGUGGUAACUAAGGGAGGUCUGCACCACUCCCAUCUCCCUAAUACACCUACCUUCCUCAUCACUCCCAACAGGCUUUGAUUUCUCUUACCUGUCUCUCCUGACACAGUCCUUCUUCCUGAUCCCAACCCAAGCCCCCAGUGCCUUCCUAGUACCUUGCUUUUGUUGUCAUACAAGGUGGAGGGGAUCUAUAUUGUAGUUUUUAUUAAUUCUCAAUGCUUCCUUCCAUAGUUUCUUUAAAAAUUAUAAAUAAUUAAAAUGUUUUCAUUUGUGAAGAGAAAGAGGUUUUGCUGUUGUUGUUUGUUUCAUGAUUCCAGGCAUGAACCCAGGGCUUCAAGCAUUCUAGGCAGGCACUCGACCACUAAGCUAUAUCUCCAGCACUUUUUAAAAUUUUAUUUUGAGAAAGAGCCUCAUUAAACUUCUCAGGCAAUCAUUGAACUUGCCUACUUCAGCUUCUCAAGUAGCUGGGAUUACCAGUGUGUGCCACCAACCCUGCAAGGAGAAAAGUUUUUAAGGCCUUUAUUUAACAUUCUUCUAGCUCCAGAUUCAACUUAAGUAUUACUCCUUUUGUAGUUCUUGGUUAUUGCUUUAAAUUGUUAUGCCAGAAACUUUAGAAGAAGCAAAGGAUUUGAAACACCAAUUCAAGUUUAUGCUCCUAGAAAGAGGUUGUUUCCCAUUAUUAUUGUGAUCAUUUAGCUACUUCAAUAUAAAUGCUACCUGAAAUUUUUAAAGAGAUUAGAAAGGAGAAAGAUCUUUCUAGGGAAUGUGGCAUUGUUGCCACAUUCAUUAAGUAACUAUUAAAGUGGAAAAAUUUUUUUUCUGUCUCAAAUCCUCAACAAGCUGCAUUUUGGCCUGUGUGCUCCCAAAAGUAUAUAUGCAAACACACACACACACACACACACAUACACACACCAAUUCAGAUGCAUUCUGUGUGUGUGUGUGUGUGUGUGUGUGUGUGUGUGUGUGAGAGAGAGAGAGAGAGAGAGAGAGAGAGAGAGAGAGAGAAUGAGAAUAAUGGAAAUAGUGGGGAAACCUAACAGGGCCUGUCCAGAUUCUUCAUUUCCCCUCUGUGUAGUAUUCCUUUCUAUGAGGCAUGGGGCAGGACCGUUUUUGGAAUGGGAGUGUUAUGAUGUACUAUGAGACAAGGUAAGUUGGAGAAUUUCUUUCUGGUCAGCUCUAAGACAAAAGGCAAGAGAAGAUUAGAAUAAUAUUCUUUUAAGUUUUAUGCCUUGUUCUGGGUAGUUUCUAAGAUCUUAGAAGAGAAAUUCUAAUUUUCAUGGUUUGCCUUGAGGGCAGAAAUCAAUGCAGGAAGGUCUGGGGAUGUAGCUUAGUGGUAGAACACUUAGCAUCAAUCCCCACUACUGCCAAAAAUAAAAGGAAGGUGAGAGAGAGGUGGGGGGGAAGAGGGAGAGGGAGAGACAGAAGGAAAAAGAGAACAAAUGCAGGAAGGUAGGAGAGCAGAGAGAAAAUUUACUUCUGAAGCUGUUUCUGAAGCCUUUACUUUAGAAUAUCAUACUUUGAGCCCCAAGAUAUACUUACAGGAGUUUUACAUUGCUGAACUGAACUGGACAAUCCAAUUCCUUUAAAAUAAAUCAUUCAGUGUUGGUUUAUACUCAUUAUAACAUUUAUUGACUACAUGAUAAUAGCAGCUGUAAAUCAUCUUAGCACAUGCUUAACUCAAACACUAUCAUUUCUGAAGCACUUGCUAUGUACCAGGUUUUAAUUGGAUAUUAUUCUUCAAUCCACAGAAAAGUCUUUUGAGGCACAUAUUGUUAUUGUCCCAACUUUACAGACAGAAAAAAAAAAUAGAUAUGUAGUUUAAAUAACUUGCCCAGAGUCUCACAGCUAGUAAUUGUAAAGCUGAAUUUGAAUCCAAAUAUUUUAACAACUUCCCACCUUGUAAUCAGAGUCAAUGCUAUUUUGUAGUUCCCCUGAAAUGUUGGUAUCCUUUAGGGUUUUUGUUUAGAACUUUUCUUCUUUAAGUGUUUGUAUUAGCUUUCUAUUGUUGCUGUAACAACUGAUCAUAAAUUUUGUGGGUUUGAGCAAUAGAAAUUUAUUAUGUUCUGGAAGACUGAAUUCUGAAUUGAGUAUUAUAAGGCUAAACUGAAGAUGUAGACAGGGCUGGUUCCUUCUAAAUGCUCCAGGUGAGAAUGUGUUUCUUUAUUCUUUCAGCUUUGUUUGACUGGUAACAUUUCUUGGCAUAUAGUUCCAUCACUACAAUUUCUGCUUCCAUUAUCACAUUUUUGUAGUUUUUAUUCCUCUGAUGCGAAAUUUUUUUCUGCCUUCCUUUCAAGGAUGCUUGUCAUUAUAUCUAGGGUCCACCCAGAUAAUCUCCCCAUCUCAAGAUCCCUAACAUCACAUCUGCAAAGUCCCUUUUAGCACAUAAGGUAAAAUUUACAUGUUCCAGGCAUUAGGACCUAGAUAUUUGGGUGAGGGGGUUAUUCAGUCUAUUACAGAUGAUCUUCUGAUUUUCACUACCAUGUAAGCAUUGACUCUCAAAAGUAUCCCUCCAGCAUAUAUCUCUAGCUCGCUCGCUCUCGCUCUCCCUCCCCUCCCCUCCCCUCCCCUCCCCUCCUCUCCUCUCCUCUCCUCUCCUCUCUUGAGUUCCAUACUAUUUUGUGUAUAUGAUGGGGAUUAAACCUAGGGUCUCACACAUGCUAACAUAAGCUCAAUCAUUGAGCUACACCCCCCUCCCAAGUGCUAUACUAUUUUAUCUGAAUUAUCUUUGAGUUUUCCACCUAAAUGUCUCACUUUGAAAUAUAGAUAGCAUCUUUCUUAGUUCUUCUCUCAUCAUACCCAAAAAUCUCUCUCUGGAGAUUCUCUCUAAGUUAAUGAUAACUGGGAUUCAAGUAAUGCCCCAAGCCAGACUCUCUCUGAGUGCCAAUAAUGUUUUUGUUAUUGUUGUUUUGAUACUAGGGAUUGAACCUAGGAGCAACUGCCUCCUUUCUGGUCUCCCUAUUUAAAGAAUUGCUCCUAUCCCUUAAAAAGAUAAUUCCAGAAUACCAUAUAGAACGAUGUCACAUUCAACAAUCAUUAAAUAGCCCUGUGAAGUUGGCAUAUCUUUGGGAAAUCUUUAGUCUGCAAUAGCACAAUUCUCCAAGACAAAAAUAAACUUGACUUGUUGAGAACAUUUUCAUAUCAGUUUGUUUUGUUUUGAUUCAAUACCAGGGAUUGAACCCAAAGGAGCUUAACCAUUGAGUCACAUUCCCAGCCUGUUUUAUUAUUUCUUUUAAUUUAAAGACAGGGUCUAAGUUACCUAGGGCCUUGCUAAACUGCUGAGGCUGGCCUCAAACUUGUGAUCCUCCUGCCUCAGCCUCCAGAGUUGCUGGGACAACAGGUGUGUGCCAUGUCACUGUGCCUUGCUCUUAUCAGUUUUAAGAUGAUGUUAGAGAUGAACUCCACCUGUGGAGGAAAUUGUGGCUCUUUGGAGUGGGGCAAAUUCCAAGAGAAUACUCUAUUAGAGCCCUGAUGCAAUUCUAAUCAGAAUCCAACUUCACUUUUAGCCCUUGUGUAAAUACAGAAUAUGAUACUCCUUUUUAAAAACCUUUUUUUAGUUGCAGAUGGACAUCUACAACUUUAUUUUAUUUAUGUAUUGUUACACAGUGCUGAGGAUCCAACCCAAUGACUCAUAUGUGCUAGGCAAGUGCUCUACCACUGAGCUACAACCACAGCCCCAGAAUACGGUACUCUUACUUUGGAUUUUUUUUAACUCCUUUCCAUCCUUCUCACAUUUUCAUGCCAUCUGAUAAUCUAUUUCUACCAUUGUUAAUUCCUUUCAUUCACUCUCUGAUUACUUUCCUGGGGCUUCUGAUCACUGUUUUUAUCCCUCACUAAAUGAGGGCUGAAUGUAACAGAGCCAACCUUGGUUUUUGUGUCUUUCCUUUUUUGAUACUGAGAAAGCAGUUCACACAUUGUCUUUCUUAAAAUUAGGUUACAGGUCAGAGAAUGUAGGGAGAAAAGAGAUAAGAGAAGGUCAUCUGAACUCAUAGUUCAAGCUAAGUCAUCACAGAAAAACGAACAAACAAAAAAACCUGCUACACAUUCCUUUUCAACCCGCCAGAGAUUACCAUCAAGGACACAUAGCGUUCUGGUUUUGGAACCAACAAGAAAGUAGCAAAACUUUUCUAUAUGUACUUAACUCCUAUCCCAGGACUUUUCCCACUUCACAAUGCUCAGCGCCUCCUUACUAUAGCCAAUUUUGUUUCAAUGUAAACAAUUUAUGUUUCUUACCCCCAGAAUUUCACUAAAAUACUCUGGUUAGUUCUGGUGGGCAUUUUUUUCCAAUUGCUAUCUGGCCAUGCUGCUGAUGGCUUAGGGAAUUUGUCUUAUGACUAGUCCUUCCACCUUUUAGCUAGCAUCUGAACUGCUCAAUAAAUUCUUUAUUUUCAAAGUCUUCUUAGUAUCAGAGGUUUUGAUUUAACACAAAAAAAUUUGUUUUUUCUUAUUAAACUAUAUUCUCCUUUUGUUUCUUUCUCUAAGGUUGCUUCCAGUUCACCUUAAUUAGAUGCUUAGAUGUUCUCAGUCUCCCCAGCUCUCUUCCUCCCUCUGCAAUCUGUUCAUAUCCAUGAUGUAUAGCUAUUGCUAUCUUAACUCUCAAAAGAACAAGUCUUGGAGAUAUGUGGUGGUCUUUCCUAACAAGCUGGUCUUAUGAAUUAAUUUCUUAGUUUAUUUCCAGAAGCAGAGCUUAGCUUGCUGUCCCUCUUUUUUUUGUUCCUCUAUAAAGGGAUUUGUGUAAUCUAUCAUCUCAUGUUUACAUAUAGCCAAAGUUUUUAUAUCUUGUUGCUUACUCUGAUUCAGCUACCUUUUCCUGGAGGGCUGAUAGAUAUCUCUGCCUCACUCCCUGAUCAAUGUUUUAUUUUGAAAAAAAAAAAUUCAAAUACACAAAAACUUUCAAGGAUAAUAUAGAGAAUACGUUUCUGUAUCUAGAUUAUAUUCACCAAUUAGUAUUUUGCCAAUUGCUUUCUCUCUCUCUCUCUC